rnacentral:rRNA from 1 species
UACAGAGGUCUCGAGCGUUGUUCGGAUUCAUUGGGCGUAAAGGGCGCGUAGGCGGCGGGGUAAGUCUGGUGUGAAAUCUCGGAGCUCAACUCCGAAAUUGCACUGGAUACUGCUCUGCUAGAGGGCUGGAGAGGAGAUCGGAAUUCACGGUGUAGCAGUGAAAUGCGUAGAUAUCGGGAGGAACACCUGAGGCGAAGGCGGGCUACUGGGCCGAUACUGACGCUGAUGUGCGAAAGCCAGGGGAGCGAACGGG